UCUCUCUCUCUCAAAAAUAAAUAAAACGUUUUUUAAAAAAAAGAAAAAGAGAAAAAAAAAGAAAAAAAAAGAAGUACAUCUGCCAGUUGCCUAACUAGGACACUGAACUCAAGGGAUUUGGGACCUCAAGAAUCUGAAAGCCUGUAUUGUCCUUACUAGGAAGUCCAUAAAAGGGGGAACUAGUGGGUGGUCCCCAACUGGCUGGUUCACAACUGACACUGAUAUUGCUGCUGGGGCCGCUGCUGUGGGUUUCUCAGCCUGGAGACCCUGUUGGACCAUGGCCCAUUCUUGGCAAAAGAAGGUUCCGGCUGCCGAGUGUCCUUUGAGUAGAUGCUGGUGAUUCUGGCCCCAGAGCUCAAGUUUAAGGCAGUAGGUGGUCCAGGAGACACAAGAGCAGGUCCCCAGUCAAGGCCGGGGCCAGAGGAGAAGACACAGGAGGACUUACUGCAUGAGACAUUUACUAGGAAAGAGCAAACCACCAUCUGGGGGAGCAGAGGACCAGGGGAUGGGACAGGUCUUAUUCCUAAUGUUCCCUCCUUUCAUGGCACUCUGUUCUGUGUAGCUGGCCAGCCCCUUUACCUUCACCACAGCCAACAAAAGCCUCUGGCCAAGGACACGAGGGCCCAGGACCUUGCUUGGAAUUCCUCAGAACCCUGGGAUGCAGCCAGUCUGGUGGGGGGGAGAUGGGGUGUUAAGGAUGGAUGGGACCACUGAGGAAGGCAGGCCAGGCCUCUGGAGGCGGUUGACAUGGCUCCGUGAAGCACAAGGGGACCAUGGCCCCCUCAGCGUAGGGCUAUAGAGUUCCCCAUCUGUCCCCUGGCAGCUGACAGGUGGAGACGAGAACCCUGACCCGAGAGGUGAGUGAAAAGAGAAGCAAGGUAUCUUCACCGAGGGGAGAGCCCAUGUCCUGUGGCUGAGUGCCUGGUGAGGUUGGGAUCACCAUGAGCAAGUUCUACUUUGAUUGAAAGCCUCUAACCCAGGAUUCUGGACCAAAAACUCAGCAUCCUCUGAAGGAGACACAGCUGAGGAUCCGAAAGGGCAGAGAGAGCUUGUGAGGAAACGGGUGCAGGUGAAACUGGGGAGAACAGGUGGAAAUGGGUCAGGGAUGUGGCUGAGGCUGAGGUUGGCGGUUCCAGUGAUGAUGGAGGUCGAGGAAGAUGACGCGUCGGGGAUCAGGAUGUGCUUCUGAGACACAAUAUCGAGGAAGAAUGAGGUGGGGGUAUCGAUCAGUCUGAGGGAUAUUCCUUCUGCAGAUGGGCAGUGUUGAUGGAGCCCUGCCUUUUCAGUGGUGCUGAAAACUGGGCAGCCCCAGGGAGGAGAGAGGCCUUAUAUACUUUGUCUACGCCUACAGCUGCAGACAAGAAGGCAGGGCACCCGCCUUUCCCCAGAAGAGUCAGUUGAGAAGGACAUAGCCGCUGCCCCUAGGGAGGCCCCUGCUUCCUUCCCGUCAGGGCCCUCCAAAGGCUGCACAACCCAGGCCCCCAGAAGUGAGCCCCCCUAAUGUGUAGUGGAAAAUGAAUCCUAAAGGAAGGCCAGACUGCCACCUGACGAGCACCCUAGACUGGAUGUCACUUGAAGCCUCCUGGGGCUCCGGUGCCCUGUGAAUCUCUUCCUCUUGGAACAUGGGUGACAGCUAUCUAGUGCCUUGCUGGGCCCCGGGCUCUCCUGCCAGCAGUGACUGAGAUGGGAAGGCUGAGAGCUAAGAUUCUCCUUUAGGAACUCAGUGUUCAGUUCAAAAAUGUGCCAUGACCCAUGGUGGCCCUUUUUCUCUUGGGGCUCCAGAGAGCUUCUGAGCUGGACAGACUGGAAUAAGAGAACCCAGCAGAAAUGGAGGGAGAAGCAAGAGGUCCAGAGUGUGGGAAAAUGUCAUUGGAAAGUAGCUAGCACGGAAAUGUGAGUUUCCCUCCCUCUACUAUUCUGAUAUUCUCAGGAGCUGGGAAGCUGGCAUAAAAAAUAGUCAAGGUUUUAAAGCUGCAAUGGACUAUAUUCUGUUUCUUUCAAAAUUCUUUUCACAUCCUCCUUGGCAGAGAGGCCUGCCUGCUUUCCUAUCAACACUGAAGACUGUGUAGCAGCAUCUAUAUAUACAGCCUGAGGUGUGCUCCCAGAGCCUGAUGGUUGGAGCUGCCUCCCUGGCUCUUUCUUCCAAUUGAUGGAAUGGUGUCUGUAAAAAUGUUUUGAAAAUAUGAAAAGUGGCAAAUUGGCCUUCAUGACAAAUAGAACUUAAUGUAACAUAUUUUACACGUUAAAUCUCCACGAACAAAAGCGAUCUCUAAUGUUUUCUUUCUCAGGGCAAAUUUCUUGGCAUUUACAUACCUUCAGUGUUUUACUGUGAUCCUGGCUGGUGGCGGGGGGAGUUAUCAUAAUAAAUAAAACAGCUUUCACCUGUA